rnacentral:lncRNA from 1 species
UAUUAUCAGAGUAACUGAAAUUAUUUAACGAAUUCGCGCUUAGUUUGAAAUAGAAUAUCCUAUAAAGAAGGCUGUGUAUUUUGACGACAAAACCGAUAAAGGUGUGCCUCUCACCCACGAUUUGGCUCUAGAGGUGUUAAAUGAUGGUAACUAGUCCGAAAUAGAAGAUUUAGAUGGCGAAAAUGAUGUUGCUUUUGACGUUCAGAU